rnacentral:rRNA from 1 species
GGCCGAGGCGACGCGCUACCAUGCAGUCGAACGCUGAAGCACCAGCUUGCUGGUGUGGAUGAGUGGCGAACGGGUGAGUAAUACGUGAGUAACCUGCCCUUGACUCUGGGAUAAGCCCGGGAAACUGGGUCUAAUACUGGAUGCUACAUGUCACCGCAUGGUGGUGUGUGGAAAGGGUUUACUGGUCUUGGAUGGGCUCACGGCCUAUCAGCUUGUUGGUGAGGUAAUGGCUCACCAAGGCGACGACGGGUAGCCGGCCUGAGAGGGUGACCGGCCACACUGGGACUGAGACACGGCCCAGACUCCUACGGGAGGCAGCAGUGGGGAAUAUUGCACAAUGGGCGAAAGCCUGAUGCAGCGACGCCGCGUGAGGGAUGACGGCCUUCGGGUUGUAAACCUCUUUCAGCAGGGAAGAAGCCACAAGUGACGGUACCUGCAGAAGAAGCGCCGGCUAACUACGUGCCAGCAGCCGCGGUAAUACGUAGGGCGCAAGCGUUGUCCGGAAUUAUUGGGCGUAAAGAGCUCGUAGGCGGUUUGUCGCGUCUGCUGUGAAAGCCCGGGGCUUAACCCCGGGUGUGCAGUGGGUACGGGCAGACUAGAGUGCAGUAGGGGAGACUGGAAUUCCUGGUGUAGCGGUGGAAUGCGCAGAUAUCAGGAGGAACACCGAUGGCGAAGGCAGGUCUCUGGGCUGUUACUGACGCUGAGGAGCGAAAGCAUGGGGAGCGAACAGGAUUAGAUACCCUGGUAGUCCAUGCCGUAAACGUUGGGCACUAGGUGUGGGGGACAUUCCACGUUUUCCGCGCCGUAGCUAACGCAUUAAGUGCCCCGCCUGGGGAGUACGGCCGCAAGGCUAAAACUCAAAGGAAUUGACGGGGGCCCGCACAAGCGGCGGAGCAUGCGGAUUAAUUCGAUGCAACGCGAAGAACCUUACCAAGGCUUGACAUAUACCGGGAUCGUUCCAGAGAUGGGUUCUUCCCCUUUGGGGUCGGUAUACAGGUGGUGCAUGGUUGUCGUCAGCUCGUGUCGUGAGAUGUUGGGUUAAGUCCCGCAACGAGCGCAACCCUCGUUCCAUUGUUUGCCAGCACGUGAUGGUGGGGACUCAUGGAAGAACUUGCCCGGGGUUCAACUCGGAGAAGGUGGGGGAAUGACGUUCAAUCAUCAUGCCCCUAUGUUCUUGGGCUUCCCGCAUGCUAACAUUGCCAUACGAAGCUGCGAUACUGUGCAAGCUGAACUAUCCAGAACAGUCCGUUCUCUACGAGCUCUCGCUA